CUAACAUCUGUAUGGCCAAUACAAAUGUUUGUCAUGUGCGGGGAUCGAACCCGCAACCGUCAGCGCGACAGCCACAGUCCGGUACUGUGGCCGUUGCGCCAACGCUUUGUCAAAAAAUAUCGUGUAAAACUCGUACGUAUGUUACAUAAACGUCAAGUUGUUUGACGUUUUUAUAUGUCGAUUUGAUGUCAACUUCAAAAACUGUCAGUCUAAAUUUUAUUUUUAUAUUUUAUAUUAUUUCGAUCGUAUCUCUUUAUUAAAUUGACAUCAAAUUGCAUAAAAUAAUUCCGACAAUAUCGGAAUCAUAUACAAAUUACAAGAUUCCGCUUUAACGUUUUUUCUUUUUCAGAUUUCCUGAGCGUGGCGUUGCCGAGCAAUGACAGCGGCCUGAGGCAGGCGGCCGGCUGCCCGGGUACAGCGGGUCUCCGUGCUGCCGACGCCGCAGCAACGCCUUUAUAGUGACUUUAUGUGUGUUUAUUAAGUGUACAUUGUUUAGUGCGAUAUUAUGUCAAAUAGUUUUAAAACAACCGAUGCAUCUCAACCGGAACUUUUCUCGUGUCCAGAACGAGCUAACGAUUUCCUGAGCGUGGCGUUGCCGAGCAAUGACAGCGGCCUGAGGCAGGCGGCCGGCUGCCCGGGUACAGCGGGUCUCCGUGCUGCCGACGCCGCAGCAACGCCUUUAUAGUGACUUUAUGUGUGUUUAUUAAGUGUACAUUGUUUAGUGCGAUAUUAUGUCAAAUAGUUUUAAAACAACCGAUGCAUCUCAACCGGAACUUUUCUCGUGUCCAGAACGAGCUAACGAUUUCCUGAGCGUGGCGUUGCCGAGCAAUGACAGCGGCCUGAGGCAGGCGGCCGGCUGCCCGGGUACAGCGGGUCUCCGUGCUGCCGACGCCGCAGCAACGCCUUUAUAGUGACUUUAUGUGUGUUUAUUAAGUGUACAUUGUUUAGUGCGAUAUUAUGUCAAAUAGUUUUAAAACAACCGAUGCAUCUCAACCGGAACUUUUCUCGUGUCCAGAACGAGCUAACGAUUUCCUGAGCGUGGCGUUGCCGAGCAAUGACAGCGGCCUGAGGCAGGCGGCCGGCUGCCCGGGUACAGCGGGUCUCCGUGCUGCCGACGCCGCAGCAACGCCUUUAUAGUGACUUUAUGUGUGUUUAUUAAGUGUACAUUGUUUAGUGCGAUAUUAUGUCAAAUAGUUUUAAAACAACCGAUGCAUCUCAACCGGAACUUUUCUCGUGUCCAGAACGAGCUAACGAUUUCCUGAGCGUGGCGUUGCCGAGCAAUGACAGCGGCCUGAGGCAGGCGGCCGGCUGCCCGGGUACAGCGGGUCUCCGUGCUGCCGACGCCGCAGCAACGCCUUUAUAGUGACUUUAUGUGUGUUUAUUAAGUGUACAUUGUUUAGUGCGAUAUUAUGUCAAAUAGUUUUAAAACAACCGAUGCAUCUCAACCGGAACUUUUCUCGUGUCCAGAACGAGCUAACGAUUUCCUGAGCGUGGCGUUGCCGAGCAAUGACAGCGGCCUGAGGCAGGCGGCCGGCUGCCCGGGUACAGCGGGUCUCCGUGCUGCCGACGCCGCAGCAACGCCUUUAUAGUGACUUUAUGUGUGUUUAUUAAGUGUACAUUGUUUAGUGCGAUAUUAUGUCAAAUAGUUUUAAAACAACCGAUGCAUCUCAACCGGAACUUUUCUCGUGUCCAGAACGAGCUAACGAUUUCCUGAGCGUGGCGUUGCCGAGCAAUGACAGCGGCCUGAGGCAGGCGGCCGGCUGCCCGGGUACAGCGGGUCUCCGUGCUGCCGACGCCGCAGCAACGCCUUUAUAGUGACUUUAUGUGUGUUUAUUAAGUGUACAUUGUUUAGUGCGAUAUUAUGUCAAAUAGUUUUAAAACAACCGAUGCAUCUCAACCGGAACUUUUCUCGUGUCCAGAACGAGCUAACGAUUUCCUGAGCGUGGCGUUGCCGAGCAAUGACAGCGGCCUGAGGCAGGCGGCCGGCUGCCCGGGUACAGCGGGUCUCCGUGCUGCCGACGCCGCAGCAACGCCUUUAUAGUGACUUUAUGUGUGUUUAUUAAGUGUACAUUGUUUAGUGCGAUAUUAUGUCAAAUAGUUUUAAAACAACCGAUGCAUCUCAACCGGAACUUUUCUCGUGUCCAGAACGAGCUAACGGUAGGUCGUUUAGAGGCCGCGAAGGCUUAAAAAUUCACACCGCCCGUUGCCACGGCGAUCCAUUAGUGCAUUCAUCGCCUAUUUUAACCGAUCCUUCGUCGACCGUAACCAGUGUUAAUAAUUCGGUUCCAUUUGAAAAAUUGAUUUCGAAAUUUCACCAAAAUAUCCCGAUCGUUAAACGAGUUAACUAGAGGAGCGAGGAUGUCUCUAGCUAGAUAGAUCUCUAUCAACUGUGAUUAAAAAGUGUAUUUCGGACACUGAUUCGGCCUGGUAAAAUCUUUUAUAUUUUCUUACGAAUUUUUACACGUUGAUAAAACCAAAAAUAGUUCUUUAUCAACCAAAUUAAAGCAGAAUAGCUUAUUAGACAUUCCGAUUAUCACUCCUAAAAACCCACGACCUUUAUAUUCCGACUCUAGUAAAAUUAUUGAAAAUAAAGCAAUGGAUGGAGAUCUCGAGAAUGCAGCUCGCAUUCUUUUCUCUAGUGAUUAUUUAAUUAAUGAUUACGGAAUUAUUUAAUGAUUUGUACCAAAACUAUCGGUAAAUAUUUAGUUUUUAAGGUGUGAAUUGUAAAUAGGUACCUAUAAUGUUUAAUAAACUAUUGUUAUUCAGUUGUUGUACGUAAAAUCUAACAAAUUGGUAUUUUGACGAAUAGAUAGAUAGAUAUGUUAAAAAAAGUGGUCUCCGAGACACGGCUUGAUUUUUUUUUUAUUUCAGCUACUAUAUUUAUUUUAAUAUUUUGCAUUUAAACCUAAAUUCUGGGAUAAUAAAACAUAGCGGGGUGUUCUUUUUAUUUCUGUAAUUUCUCAUCUUAAUUGUACCUACCUAUUUAUUUAUUACAUUAUUUUAAUUACUAUAAUUUUCAUUAUUCUUAAUUCUAGAACAUUUUACUCAUACAUAUUUAUAUGUUUUACUUACUAUUAUGUAUAUAUUUAUUUACUUAUUACUACGACAACGCUUACACUUAACGUAGUAGUAUCCAGAGCACGGCUAAACGUGCUCUCCGAGGCGCGGUUUUAAUGUUUUUAUUUUUUAUCUAAGCUAUUAUAUUUAUUUUAAUAUUUUUCAUUUUACCUAAGUUAUGGGAUAGUAAAACAAAGCGGGGUUUCCUUUUUGUUCUAUUUAUUUAUUACAUGAUUUAUGAAUUAUUGUGAGAGGCCUUUUCUUUUUAUUUACAUCUUAUUUUCUUAAUUCUAAUACAUUUUAUUUAGUUAUUUAUUUAUUUAUACACUUUACAGAGUUUCAGUUUUAACGAUGUUUAUUAUCAUUACCUUACUAACUUAUUCUACUAAAUUUGUGUGCUAAUAGUAUUAUUUAUAUCUCUCUUUUUAUUUUCUCUUCAACUCCUUUGGUUUUCUUUUUCUAUCGAUCUACAUAAUAUAUUCAGAGAGAAGAGUAUUUCAACAA